AUGAACGCUAGCGAUAGGCUUAACACCUGCAAGUCGAGGGGCAGCAUGGUCUUAGCUUGCUAAGACUGAUGGCGACCGGCGCACGGGUGCGUAACGCGUAUGCAACUUGCCUCACAGAGGGGGAUAACCCGUCGAAAGACGGACUAAUACCGCGUACACUCUAUUUUGGGCAUCCAAGGUAGAGGAAAUGAAAUUCGCUGUGAGAUAGGCAUGCGUCCCAUUAGCUAGUUGGUGAGGUAACGGCUCACCAAGGCGACGAUGGGUAGGGGAACUGAGAGGUUGAACCCCCACACUGGUACUGAGACACGGACCAGACUCCUACGGGAGGCAGCAGUGAGGAAUAUUGGUCAAUGGGCGAGAGCCUGAACCAGCCAAGUCGCGUGAAGGAUGACUGUCUUAUGGAUUGUAAACUUCUUUUGUAGGGGAAUAAAGAGGGGCACGUGUGCCCCAGUGAAUGUACCCUACGAAUAAGCAUCGGCUAACUCCGUG
rnacentral:rRNA from 1 species